ensembl:snoRNA
UUGGCCCAGAAUCAAGGCCAGCAGUUUGCUGAAGCUGUUGGUUUCAAGCAGGAGGCUAAAGAAUUAUCUUUCUAUGGUGUUGGCCAUUUUGAUUUUCUGUUUGAAUUACCUGUCCAUUGCUAAAAGGAGAGUGCAAAGUCC